rnacentral:tRNA from 2 species
GCCGGUGUGGCGGAACUGGUAGACGCAGCGGACUCAAAAUCCGCCGCCCUUAAAAGCGUGUGGGUUCGAUUCCCUCCACCGGCACCA